rnacentral:tRNA from 1 species
GCAUCCUUAGCUCAAUGGUAGAGCGGCUGACUUGUAAACAGCGGGUUGCGUGUUCGAAUCACGCAGGGUGCUCCA